ensembl:lncRNA
UUGCCUGAAUACACUUAUACACUUAUACAGCAUAGCUCCUUCACAGAAUCAUCCUGGACAUGGUUCCUUCAUCAGCAGGCUACACACUUUCCUGUAAGCCCCUACUCCUCUCCGUUCCUCGGGUUCCAGGCUCUCAGUGAUCAGAAGGUGCAGUGUGUGUGUGUUUCCAGCCUCAUCCUCACGAUGGCGACGUUCUACCGUGACUUCACCAGUGGACUUUGUUCUCCAGGUCAUGUCUCAACAGAGCAAAGCAGCAGGAAGUGUCACCUCAUUCGUCAUGUCUUUCACAACACAGCGUAACAGCACCGGGUCUGGAGGAGCUGACACUUUCAGCUGAACUUUACACACACACACACACACACAGUGCAGAGAGAGAGAGACACACACACAGAGAGAGAGAGGAUCAGGUGAGUUUUUGACUUUUCUGUCAUUGAGAGAAUGAGGGUUAUAGUGUAGAGGUGUGAAGGUGUGAGUGUAGAGGUAUAAGUGUAAAUGUGAGUGUGAAAGUGUGAGUGUAAGUGUGUGUCUAAAUGUGAGUGUGAAGGUGUGAGUGUGAAGGUGUGAGUCUAAAUGUGAGUGUGAAGGUGUGAGUGUAAAUGUGAGUGUGAAGUUGUGAGUGUAAAUGUGAAUGUAAAAUGUGUGAGUGUGAAGAUGUGAGUGUAAAUGUGUGAGUGUGAAGAUGUGAAGGUGUGAGUGUAAAUGUGAGUGUAAAUAUGAGUGUGAAGGUGUGAGUGUAAAUGUGAGUGAAAGUGUGAGUGUAAAUUAGAGUGUGAAGGUGUGAGUGUGAAGGUGUGAGUGUGAAGGCGUGAGUGUGAAAGUGUGAGUGUAAAUUAGAGUGUGAAGGCGUGAGUGUGAAGGCGUGAGUGUGAAGGCGUGAGUGUGAAGGCGUGAGUGUGAAGGCGUGAGUGUGAAGGCGUGAGUGUGAAAGUGUGAGUGUAAAUUAGUGUAAAUUAGAGUGUGAAGGUGUGAGUGUGAAGGUGUGAGUGUGAAGGUGUGAGUGUGAAGGUGUGAGUGUAAAUUAGAGUGUGAAGUUGGUGACUGGAACACAGGUGUAAGAGCUGUUACACAGUCACGGCGUGGUGUUUGAAUGGGGUUUAUUUACACUCUGCCUGAGAGAUUAAUUCUUAAUUAUUAAUGUUUUAUUCUGAACUUCAUUCCUGCACCAUUUAACUCUAAUGCAGUGUGAUUAACUACAGACACACACACACACACACACACACAAACUCACACACAUACACACACACACACACACACUCACACCGUCAUAUAAGAGAUACAAAGGUUGAGGUUUAAGGUUAGGGGUGGGGUCAAAGUGCAAACCUUUUCUCAUGACACACACACACACACACACACACACACAUGCUUGGCCUAUUGUGUGCUUUUAUGAGACUGUGUUCUGUUCUGCGUGUGUUAAAUAUAGACCUGCACCUGUCUCUCUCUCACACACAGUGUGAUGUAUGUGUGUGUGUGUGUGUGUGUGUGUGUGUGUGUUUGUGUGUGUGUACAGUACGUGACAAUGUGGUAUGUGUGUGUGUGUGUGUGUAUUAUGAGAGAAUAAUCAAAGCUAGGAUAAUAUACUGAUAAUCACAUUGUCUUUAAGACACUUAAGACUUGGUAUCAGUUUAGACGGCGCUUUAAAUUUGUAGGUGCAUCCUUUUUGGUCCUUUAGACAACAACCACCUAUUUCCUCCAUCGUGUUUGGACUCCACAUUUACAGUGUGGUAUGACAAGGGCAUUAAACAAGUUAGAAAUCUGUAUGCCGAUGGUGUGUUUGAUAGUUUUGCCAGUCUGUCAUCUACUUAUGACCUCCCUGUGAUGCACCAGUUUCGUUAUUUUCAAAUUCGGAAUUUCGUUUCUAGAUGUUUUCCUGAUUUCCCCUCUGCGCCUCCUGAACAGGCUUGGGAAAGCUUGUUUUCAAACAAUCUGCAUCAGAGAGGAAUGAUUUCUAGGAUUCAUGAUUUUAUUCUCCCGUUAGGUAGUGAGUCGAGUACCAGAGUUAGGAAUGGUGGGAAACGGAGUUAGGAGUACAGAUAAGUGAGGGGUGUUGGGAACGUGCUAUAGGGAGGUUACAGUCUACCACUUCCUGUGCUCGUCUUGGACUUAUCCAGUUCAAAGUUUUACACAGAGUCCAUCUGUCCAAGUCGAGACUUUCUGUGAUGUAUCCGGACGUAGAGGACAAGUGUGAUAAAUGCCAUGGCUCUCCCUGCCAUCUUGGCCAUAUGUUUUUCUUCUGCCCAGAUCUCCAUGGUUUUUGGACUGGUUUCUUUACUGUCAUGUCCACUAUUCUCAGGGUAGAUUUAAAGCCUUGCCCACUGAUUGCUGUAUUUGGGAUUGCUGAUGACUCAGUUUCACUGAACUCGAUACAAAAGGAUGUUUUUGCUUUCACAUCCCUUAUAGCAAGACGUUCCCUACUGUUGCUUUGGAAGUCUGCUAAAUAUCCAUCUAUCUCCCAGCGGCUAAAGGACGUGAUGUUUUUUUUUAACUCGAGAAAAUAAGGUAUACGAUGAGGGGUUGUACUGACACGUGUGUGUGUAAGUUUGUGAGUGUGUAUGUGAGUGUGUAUGUGUGUAUGUAUGUGAAUAUGUGUGUAUAUGUGUGUAUAUGUGUGUAUAUGUGUGUGUAUGUGUGUGUAUGUGCAUGUGUGUAUAUGUGUGUAUGUAUAUGUGUGUGUAUGUGUGUAUAAAUGUGUGUGUGUGUGUGUGUAUAAAAGUGUGUGUGUGUAUGCAUGUGUAUAUGUGUGUGUAUGUCUAUAUAUGUGUGCAUGUGUGUAUGUGUGUGUGUGUGUGUGUGUAUAAAUGUGUGUGUAUGUAUGUGUAUAUAUCAGUGUAUGUGUGUGUGCGUGUAUGUGUGUGUAUGUGUAUAUAUGAGUGUGUGUGUGAGUGUAUGUGUGUAUAAAUGUGUGUAUGCGUAUAUAUGUGUGCAUGUGUGUAUGUAUGUGUAUAUAUCAGUGUGUGUAUGUGUGUAUCUGUGUAUAUAUGUGUGUGCGUGUAUGUGCGUGUGUGUGCGUGUAUGUGCGUGUAUGUAUGUGUGUGUGUAUGUGUGUGUAUGUGUGUGUAUAUGUGUGUAUAUGUGUGUAUAUGUGUGCAUGUAUGUGUGCAUGUAUGUGUGCAUGUAUGUGUGCAUGUAUGUGUGCGUGUA